rnacentral:tRNA from 1 species
CCUCUGAUAGCUCAGCUGGAAGAGCGCAAGACUGUAAUUGCCCUGUUCUAAUAGGAACUUGUUAUCUUGAGGUCCCUGGUUCGAUCCCGGGUCAGAGGA